rnacentral:rRNA from 1 species
CACGUAGGGUGCAAGCGUUGUCCGGAUUCAUUGGGCGUAAAGGGCUAGUAGGCGGCUUAGCAAGUCGGGUGUGAAAACUUCAGGCUCAACCUGGAGCGGCCAUCCGAUACUGCUAUGGCUAGAGUCCGGUAGGGGACCACGGAAUUCCUGGUGUAGCGGUGAAAUGCGCAGAUAUCAGGAGGAACACCGGUGGCGAAGGCGGCAUCCUGGACCGACACUGACACUGAGGAGCGAAAGCCAGGGGAGCAAACGGG